AACUCCAGGAGAUGGUGAGGGACAGGGAAGCCUGGGUGCUGCCAAGUCCAUGAGGUCGCCCAGAGUUGGACACGACUCGGUGAUGAAACAGCAAAAACAAGGGUGAUAGCAGUGUCGCUUCUGUCAUUCCUGAUUUUAGAAAUGUGAGUCGUCUUCUAUUUUCUUGGUUAGUCUAGCUAAAGAAUUAAUCAGUUUUGUUGAUCUAUUUGAAGUUGUCCUCUAUUAUUUUUCAUUUUUUGCUUGGUUAAUUUCCACUCUAACCUUUAUUUCCUUGGGUUUUUUGCAUUUAUAAUUCAGUUUUGUCAUACUUUCUUCAUUGGAAGUUUAGCUUAUUGUUUUGAGGUUUACUUUUUAAUGUAGAUGUUUAUGGGUAUAAAUUUUCAUCUAAGCACUGAUUUAGCUUCAUCCUAUACAUUUUAGCAUAUUGUAUAUUCAUGUUUAUUUAUUCUUAUUUUCUAACUUCUCUUGUGAUUUCUUCUUUUACCCGUUGUUUAUUUAGGAGUUUGUUGCUUAAUCUCCACAUGCUUGUGAAUUUCCCGUUUCCUCCUGUUACUUGAUUUCUGAUUUCAUCGAGCACGUCCUGUGUGCUUUCAUUCUUCAGGGUUUGAGGCUCGUGGUCUGUCCUGGAGAGUCUUAACAUGCAGCCCAGUGUUCGGCGGGGUGGUGGGCGUCCUGUGGAGUCUGUAGGCUCCUGGAGAGUCUUCACACGCAGCCCGGUAUUCGGCGGGGUGGUGGGCGUCCUGUGGAGUCCGUAGGCUCCUGGAGAGUCUUCACACGCAGCCCGGUAUUCGGCGGGGUGGUGGGCGUCCUGUGGAGUCCGUAGGUCUGGUUGGUGUCUGGUGCUGCUCAGGUUUCUUUUCGUGUUGAUCUUUACCCCAGCUGUCAAAUUCAUUAUUGAAAGUGGGGUAUUGAAAUCUCCCAACUAUUAAAACUGUGUUUCUCCUUUUUCUGUCAGUUUCUGCUAUAUGUACUCUAGGGCUUUGUUGUUAAGUGCAUAUGUGUUUAUAUUUGGUAUUUCUUCCUGAGGGAUGGACCUUUUAUCUUAGAGCAUAACCUUCUCUGUCUCUAGUAACAAUGUUUGCUUUAAAGUCUGUCUUGUACGAUGUGAGUGUACCUUCUGUUGUUUGCAUGACACAUCCUUCUCCAGCCCUUUCCUUUCGUCGUCUCUGAAUCUAAAGUCUUUCUUAUGGAUGGUAUGUAUUUGAUCAUGUUUCUUAGUCCGUUCUACCAAUUCUGUUGUGGGGUGGAACAUUUAAUCUAUUUACCUUUAAUAUAAUUACUGAUAAGGUAAGAUUUAUGUCUGCCAUUUUUCUCUUUUUUUUUAACAUGUCUUUUAAAACCUUACUCCCUCUGUUACUGAUUUCUUGUGUGUUAAAUAACUGUUUAAUUCCCUUGUAAUACUUUAAUUCCCUUGUGCCUUUCAUUAUUUGUAGGUAAUUUUUUCAGUGGUUGCAUUGAGGAUUACGAUGAACAACCUAAUACACUCUAGUUUGGAUUAAUGCCGGCUUGGUUUCAGUGGUUACAAAGCUGCUUCCUUAGAACUCUGUUUCUUUCCAGCUCCUUUCCAUUGUUCUUACCGUACAAGUUGCAUCUUACGGGUUGUCAGCCCAUCAACAUAGGUGUGUGAUUAUUGCUCUAUGUAGUCACUCUUUAGCUCAGUAGGAAAGGAAAGGCUCAUAGACAUGUUUACACCGUCUUAUCGGCCCUGAGGCUGCCUUCACCCGCGCCCUCUGUGUCUCCUUGAGGAUGUGAAUCUGCCAACCGUGAACUAUCUUUGUUGUUGUCUCUUUGGGGAUGUCUUCAUUUCUUCAUUUUUGAGUAGUUUUGAUGGGUAUGGAAUUCUUGGUGUAAGAGUUUUUUCUUUAAACAUUUUGAAUGUGUUAUAUCACUGCUUCCUAGGCUCCAGGGUUCCAAGCGAGAAGGCAGCUGUCAGUCUUUCAGAGAAAGAAGCCUCUACAUACUGAGUUGGGUUUUCCUCUGCUUUCAAGAUGCUCUGUCUUCACCGUCCUGCUGUUAACUACAGCCUGUCUAGUCAGGGGCUCAUUGCCCAUGUGCUGCUGGGGCUUUGCCGAGCUUCUUGCUUGUAGAGGUGGUUUCUCUUUAAACUUGGGAGGUUUUGGCCAUUAUUUCUCCAAAGAUUCUUUCUGCCCUGCCCCUCUUUCCUCUUCAAGGACCCCCAUCAUGUGUGUACACUGGCCUCUCAGGCCUGUUUGUUUGGGGUUUUUUUUUUUUCAUUCUUUUUUCUGUUUCUCAGACUGGACCUGUUGACCUAUCUUCAAGGACCUAGAUUCUUUGUUUUGCCAACUACAGUCUGGUGUUGAGUUGCUCUAGUGAGGUUUUCAUUUUAAUGAUUGUACUUUUUCAGUCCAGAAAAAGUCUAUUUUGUUUUCCUUAAUUUUUUCUUGUUAUUGAUACUCUAUUGGUAAAACAUCAUUCUUGUAAUGUAAUUCUUUAGACAUGAACAUAUGGUAACUGACUUAAAGUAUUUGUCUAGUAAGUUUAACAUCUGGGCUUACUGCAGAAUAGUGUCUGUUGACCACUUUCUCCCUCUGUGUGUGGACUCUACUUUCCUGGUUCUUCUUGUGUCUCUUUUUUAAGUAAUGUGAUGUGACAACUCUGGAAGAUCCUCCCAUCCCCCAAAUUGUUGUUUUUGUUUGUUUAGUGUGUUUUCCUGGACCAGUUAUGCAAAUCUGCACCUGCUGUGCUUGGCCAUGUGAGUCCUUGUCGGGCAGCUUCCUGAUCAGCUCAUUAGGUUUCCUCAAAUGCUUUGAUCCAAUGAGUCUUGUAGUUUUGCCGACUAGCUGUGUGUGCAUGUAUGUGGGGUGUGUGCAUGAGGGUGCAUGCCUGUGUGCAUGGGAGUGGGGGGUGUGCAUGCACGUGCAUUCAUAUGUGGGGUGAGUGCAUGAGUGCAUGUGAGUGUGCAUGGGAAUGUGGGGGUGCAUUGCAUGGAUGGGUGUGCAUGUGUGGGGUGGGUGUGCGUGAGUAUGUGGGGGUAAUUGUGCAUGUGCAUGUAUGAGUGUGUGCGUGAGUGUGUAUGCUGGGGGGGUGUGUGCAUGUGUGUGGGAGUGUGUGUGGGUGUGUUGGGCAUACCUUCAGUGUCCUACUAGCCAGAUGCUGACCCUGACUUGGUUUUCCCUUUAUGAGUGUUUUGAUCUUUGCUCCACGAGAAAGUAGCUUAUAGUUGUAGUUGAUGAUUCUCUUAGGAGUGAGAGCAAGCAGUUUCCAUAUGUUAAAGCAGUCUUGUUUAUCCUUUUCUGGGAAUUGUAUUCCAUACCAUUUGCUCAUUUUUCUGUUAGUUUAUUGGUUUCUUAUUAAACUGUGGGAACUCUUUAUUCAGUGAGAAAACAAGCUGUACAUGAUGAGUUGCAAAUACAUCUAAUUUUAUCUUCUGAUUUUGCUUACAUUGUUCUCUGCCAUGUAGAUUUUUUAAAAUGUAGUUGAAUUUAACCAGUC